UAGAGUUUGAAUCCUGGCUCAGAUUGAACGCUGGCGGCAGGCUUAACACAUGCAAGUCGAGCGGUAACAUUUCUAGCUUGCUAGAAGAUGACGAGCGGCGGACGGGUGAGUAAUACUUAGGAAUCUACCUAGUAGUGGGGGAUAGCUCGGGGAAACUCGAAUUAAUACCGCAUACGACCUACGGGAGAAAGGGGGCAACUUGUUGCUCUCGCUAUUAGAUGAGCCUAAGUCGGAUUAGCUAGAUGGUGGGGUAAAGGCCUACCAUGGCGACGAUCUGUAGCUGGUCUGAGAGGAUGAUCAGCCACACCGGGACUGAGACACGGCCCGGACUCCUACGGGAGGCAGCAGUGGGGAAUAUUGGACAAUGGGGGAAACCCUGAUCCAGCCAUGCCGCGUGUGUGAAGAAGGCCUUUUGGUUGUAAAGCACUUUAAGCAGUGAAGAAGACUCUUCGGUUAAUACCCGGAGACGAUGACAUUAGCUGCAGAAUAAGCACCGGCUAACUCUGUGCCAGCAGCCGCGGUAAUACAGAGGGUGCAAGCGUUAAUCGGAAUUACUGGGCGUAAAGCGAGCGUAGGUGGCUUGAUAAGUCAGAUGUGAAAUCCCCGGGCUUAACCUGGGAACUGCAUCUGAUACUGUCAGGCUAGAGUAGGUGAGAGGAAGGUAGAAUUCCAGGUGUAGCGGUGAAAUGCGUAGAGAUCUGGAGGAAUACCGAUGGCGAAGGCAGCCUUCUGGCAUCAUACUGACACUGAGGCUCGAAAGCGUGGGUAGCAAACAGGAUUAGAUACCCUGGUAGUCCACGCCGUAAACGAUGUCUACUAGUCGUUGGGUCCCUUGAGGACUUAGUGACGCAGCUAACGC
rnacentral:rRNA from 1 species